AGUGAACGCUGGCGGUAGGCCUAACACAUGCGAGUCGAACGGCAGCACAGUAAGAGCUUGCUCUUACGGGUGGCGAGUGGCGGACGGGUGAGGAAUACAUCGGAAUCUACUUUUUCGUGGGGGAUAACGUAGGGAAACUUACGAUAAUACCGCAUACGACCUACGGGUGAAAGCAGGGGAUCUUCGGACCUUGCGCGAUUGAAUGAGCCGAUGUCGGAUUAGCUAGUUGGCGGGGUAAAGGCCCACCAAGGCGACGAUCCGUAGCUGGUCUGAGAGGCUGGUCAGCCACACUGGAACGGAGACACGGUCCAGACUCCUACGGGAGGCAGCAGUGUGGAAUAUUGGACAAUGGGCGCAAGCCUGAUCCAGCCAUACCGCGUGGGUGAAGAAGGCCUUCGGGUUGUAAAGCCCUUUUGUUGGGAAAGAAAAGCAGCAGGUUAAUACCCCGCUGUUCUGACGGUACCCAAAGAAUAAGCACCGGCUAACUUCGUG
rnacentral:rRNA from 1 species